GACGAACGCUGGCGGCGUGCUUAACACAUGCAAGUCGAACGGUGAAAGCGGAGCUUGCUCCGCUGGAUCAGUGGCGAACGGGUGAGUAACACGUGGGCAACCUGCCCCAGACUUCGGGAUAACUCUUCGAAAGAGGCGCUAAUACCGGAUAUGAACUCUGCAGGCAUCUGCGAAGUUGGAAAGUUUUUCGGUCUGGGAUGGGCCCGCGGCCUAUCAGCUAGUUGGUGAGGUAGUGGCUCACCAAGGCGACGACGGGUAGCCGGCCUGAGAGGGCGACCGGCCACACUGGGACUGAGACACGGCCCAGACUCCUACGGGAGGCAGCAGUGGGGAAUAUUGCGCAAUGGGCGAAAGCCUGACGCAGCAACGCCGCGUGCGGGAUGAAGGCCUUCGGGUUGUAAACCGCUUUCAGCAGGGAAGAAGCGAAAGUGACGGUACCUGCAGAAGAAGCACCGGCUAACUACGUGCCAGCCGCCGCCGUAACAC
rnacentral:rRNA from 1 species